rnacentral:tRNA from 1 species
GGGGCCGUAGCGCAGAAGUCGUCGCGCUCGACUAACAAGCGAGAGGACGCCGGUGCGAAUCCGGCCGGUCCCG